rnacentral:sRNA from 2 species
AACCAGGAUGUUUCCAGCGUCAAUCCGCCAAGUCAUCGCAAUGCAACCCACACAAAGAACGGCCACUGACUGGGUUCUUGAUUCCCCAGUCAGCGCUAGUCGUCUACUCUGAGACAGUCUGCAAAUGCACUUCUAAAUCUCAGAGACGAAUGAGUAGUUAAUUCCACAAUAUCUUAACUGAGAGAGCAAUGCCUCAGACUUCCAUUAUCGAGAGUGCAGAGUCUAAGUCUUAAGAGCACUGCAGAUAAAAAAUAAAAUGAAAUGCUACAGCUUGUGUAGAUGGUGAAAUGAAUAUAUACUGAGCGAGCAAGCAGUGGGCCAGCUAGGAUAGAAAUCUCUACUUUCAUGAAAGAUGAUGAAUUCAAUGAGUAUCAAGCAGAUACGCACCUAGCUAACUAGUGUUGCUAGAUAUUAUGGUUAGAUAUCAUCGCUACAUAUCUUUGCGAGAUAUCACUGAUGAAUAUUGUUAGAUAUACGGAGGAUCCUCUCAAAAGUUUUGAUUAGUGCUAUCACAUACUAAAAAUGCCAC